rnacentral:rRNA from 1 species
AGUCGAGCGGACUUGAUGAGAAGCUUGCUUCUCUGAGAGUUAGCGGCGGACGGGUGAGUAACACGUAGGCAACCUGCCUGUAAGACUGGGAUAACUACCGGAAACGGUAGCUAAUACCGGAUAGGUGAUUUUCUCGCAUGAGGGAAUCAAGAAAGACGGAGCAAUCUGUCACUUACGGAUGGGCCUGCGGCGCAUUAGCUAGUUGGUGAGGUAAUGGCUCACCAAGGCGACGAUGCGUAGCCGACCUGAGAGGGUGAACGGCCACACUGGGACUGAGACACGGCCCAGACUCCUACGGGAGGCAGCAGUAGGGAAUCUUCCGCAAUGGACGAAAGUCUGACGGAGCAACGCCGCGUGAGUGAUGAAGGUUUUCGGAUCGUAAAGCUCUGUUGCCAGGGAAGAACGUCUUAGAGAGUAACUGCUCUAAGAGUGACGGUACCUGAGAAGAAAGCCCCGGCUAACUACGUGCCAGCAGCCGCGGUAAUACGUAGGGGGCAAGCGUUGUCCGGAAUUAUUGGGCGUAAAGCGCGCGCAGGCGGCUAUGUAAGUCUGGUGUAUAACCUCAGGGCUCAACCCUGGGUCGCACUGGAAACUGUGUAGCUUGAGUACAGAAGAGGAAAGUGGAAUUCCACGUGUAGCGGUGAAAUGCGUAGAGAUGUGGAGGAACACCAGUGGCGA